rnacentral:rRNA from 1 species
UACGGAGGGUGCAAGCGUUAUCCGGAUUCACUGGGUUUAAAGGGUGCGUAGGCGGGCUAGUAAGUCAGUGGUGAAAUCCCCGAGCUUAACUUGGGAACUGCCGUUGAUACUAUUAGUCUUGAAUAUCGUGGAGGUAAGCGGAAUAUGUCAUGUAGCGGUGAAAUGCUUAGAUAUGACAUAGAACACCAAUUGCGAAGGCAGCUUGCUACUCGAUUAUUGACGCUGAGGCACGAAAGCGUGGGGAUCAAACAGG